rnacentral:lncRNA from 1 species
CGUCUAACAAUCUCAUAUAGGUGUGAUGGUGGGGUGUCCGCAUACUUUUGGCCAUAUGGUGUAUAUAUAUUCAGAUCACAUACAAAGGCCGGGUUUCAAUAUCCUGUUUGCCUUUGUGAAUCAGACUUCAAGUCAGUCAUGCAUUGCUACAACCUGAAAGUGAACACAGAGGUUUUUGUCUUCUUUCUGACAGAGAAAGCGAGAGGCGUUGAACGCCCGAGCAUCCUGUCAGAGGUGGACCUGGGCUGUGUCUCACCAGUCUGAAGUGUCUGCCUCUUCCUUCACUACCUUGCCUCUCAUUUAUCUCCUUGAAAGAACUGGGCCAGAACCAGAAUGUCUGGACCAGAACCAGAACGUGCCAAUCGCAGAAAUGGUGCCACCCACCAUGUGAUUGUGAGCUUUCAGUGUUGCGGUAGGAGAGGAGACAAGGAAACAAACGGAGGAAGCGAUUCUUGCCAGAUGAAACGCAGUGCGAGCACAGGGGUUUGUGGUCUGUGACUCAAUUCCUGUCAGAUCCUUGAGCUAGACAGAAAACGUAUUUUUUGUCUUCACGUGUGAUAAACUUGAAACUGCUUUAACGGAUCAGACAUUAGAAAUAUUUACACAUCAUUAAUAUGCAGUUGCUUUGGAGUCACCUGUUUCUCCUGGGUGUAGUACUGGUCCGGUCCACUUCAAGAGCAGAAUACCCAUUACAUACGACAACAAGACCCCCUAUGAGCACAAGAACCCCUACAGACAUAAGAUCCUCUACAGACACAGGAUCACAGCCAAACGAGAACCAGAAGGUCGUUACCACAGCCAAUGACACUCCCACACCCGCUAACACCUCCUCACUCAACUGCACCCAGAGGACUUCCACAGCCCCGCCGCCCACGACCCCGGUCAUAACGGACUCCACCCACACCAGCAGCAAUGCCACGGGUGGCGACAACCCGUCCCAGGACCAGACCACGGUCGUACCCCCGUCAACCGAACCCACUUCGACCGUUACCACAGGGACACCGCGGCUGGUGCAAACCAUCGGCCAAUCAGAGGCAAAGGUGACCACUGCCGCGGGGACAGAUGUCGUUCAGACCACCAUGACAGGCGCACGACAGGGAUCCAGUGAUGCAAUAGGUUACGUAAUCCUGUUCUUCAUAUUAAUGGCCAUUUUCUUUGUGCUGUUUGGUAUCUACUUCCUGAGAAAGAAGUCCAGGAGAUACUCGUUUGACCUGCAACGACCAGGUUACGACCAUGAGACCCCGCUCACUGGCAUGGAACAACCCGGAACCUUUGAACCCACCAAAGAGAAGGCUGGAGGGUUUGAGAGCAUUAGCCAGGGUGGGGCUGAGGGCAGGGCUGAGGAAGACCCCCAGACCCCGGUGCCCAACGGGUCGGCUGGGGAGCCCGACGCCACCAUGUCCCCUGGAGAGAACGCAAUAGAGAAGAAGGAUGAUGAUGAUGAUGAAGACAUCUUCAAUCUCUGCUCUGAGAUCAGUCUGACUCCACCAGUGAAGAGGGUGGGCUUUAGCUUGGACCUGGACCUGAGUGACAAGCUGUCAAACAAGUCAGACGCUGGAGACAAGGAGCAGAAUGCCAACAACAAUAAUGUUGCUAUGGCAAUUUUCCCUGACACUCUUGGCCUGACCUUUGACCCCAUGGGUUCAGUUGGUGUCUUCAGUGACAUCAGUCUGGAUGUAUAGACAGACAGACAGACACACACACCUAAAUUAGUCAGUGGGUAAAAAGGUUCCUCUAUGCCCUAUUUUUUGUAACAUCUCAUCAGGAGCAUGCCCAGAUGUUGUCAGGCAUGCCUACAGGCAUGUGGGGACCAUACACACUACUGAGUAACAAUGUGUUGCCGUGAUGAAAUUCACAGUAGUUACUUUAGCUUUUUGAGUGUGAAUCCAUUCCUCAAUCGGUUGGUGAUUUUGGCUUUCAUUGACCAUUUUUACGUUAUUAUGUUCUCAAUGAAAUACACAAUGUACAGUGAAACUUAGGAUCCUUCAUGUAAUCCCUUCAUCGAGACACCGUGUGAUUUUAGUAAUCCCUUCAUUUUUUUAAAUACUUUUUUUGUGGGUGUUUUUAUGUUAAACAUGAAUUGCAACAAAAGCGGACAAUUUCGGUGUGGUUCUCUUUCAGAAUAAAGUUUUUUCAACCAAGGA